CCAGCUAGGAUGUCAUCGACGUAGCGGUGAUUCCUCAGGGCCAUUGCUGCAAGAGGAAAACGAGCUUCCUCAUCGAUGGCAAGCUGCUCCAUCACGCGAAGUGCCAGGAAUAGGGCGGAAGCGGUGCCAUAGGUGACAGUGGUUAAGUUGUAAUCCUGCACCGGCUCCUCUGGAUAGGGGCGCCAAAGAAUCCUUUGCCACUGCACAUCAGAGGGAUGGAUCCAAAUUUGUCGUAUAUCUUGACGAUGUCAGUGAUAAAGACGAUGCGAAAGAGUCGCCAACGAGUCAAAACCAUCCAAAGGUCAGCCUGCAGCUUGGGCCCCACGCAGAGAUAGUCGUUGAGAGACACACCGGAAGAGGACGGCAACGACGCAUUAGACACGAUCUCAAUUUAGCUGAGGGAUCGUGCUGUUUAACGACCGCAUGGUGUGAGAUGUAGUAGCCAUUGUCGAAAUCCGUCCUAUCAGAGACGUGUUGGACGAGAGCUUCCGCUCGCAGUUGAGGAGAAGCUUUAGCGCAAGUGGCCUCGAGGUACCCAGAGCGGCGGCAGGAUCUUGGCGAAAAGUGGUACGAGCGAACGGUGGCGGUUGAUGUGAAAGAUGUUAAGUCUGUUGGUCCUAUCACUACCCAGCCGAGUCAGUUUGGCGAUGGGCGAUCCUGGAGGACCAGUUCGCGAAGCAUCCUGGAAGAGGGUCCCACAGACGUCGGCUCCGAGGAUGAGGUCGACUCGGGCGGGCACCCCAAAGUCGGGGUCUGCCAUUGUAAUGCCCUGAAGAUGCGGCCAGGACUCCGACAAAACUUGAUGGGCCGGCAGG